GUGCUCACUUCAGCAGCACAUACACUAAAAUUAGAAGGAUAUGGACAAGAUUAGCACUGCCUCUGCACAGGGAUGACACUCAAAUUGGUAAAGCGUUCCAGAUUUUU
ensembl:snRNA Gm22226 U6 spliceosomal RNA